UUUUACCUUUUGUGCGCGUCCAAUUAAUUGUACUCACUCGUGUUUUGUUCUUAACAGCUGAACCCUUGCGUAUGUGUGUCCGCUUAACGGCUUAACUGCUAAAGGUAAAUUGCUUUCGACGAGUUGAUUAGCUGAACAACAAACAAGAGGUUACGACAAGCUUUGGUCGAGAGUUAAUAAAUAUUUUAGCGACGCCAGCAUGCGGACGUCGUUUACGUUGCUUGUGUGUUGCCACACGCUGGAAAUUUACGUUCCGGCGACUACGCGGUAAAGUUCGCCAAAGCGGUUAGCCUUGGCCGCUGCAACGUAGCCGCACGCGCGGACGGACAGUCGUACGGUGUCUUCGCAGGUGUCGUUUUUCACGUUUGCCUCAACAUAGAGAAUCGCCCUGCGGUGUGUUUUGGCAGUCACUGCGCAACGGUUUACUACCAACCAACUUGCAUCGGACUUCCAUGGAGAUUGCCGAGCGGGCAGCAUUGAUUGCAUCCUGUCUGCUGCUGGUUUCGGUAGCCCUAGUGGGUGUUCUCUGGUGCGCAUGCCGACGUUCGCAACUGGGCAGCACUGUCCCUAUGGCAGCCAUCACUGAGACCGUGACGCAGGCCGUUGUAAGAGUGGUCCUCUGAAAUAAGGUGGACUGGUGGUAGAAGUACAACGAGGCCAUGGUGGUAUCUGUAAUCACUGGCGUCAUCAUUGCCGUUGUGAUAGUAAUUGUGCUAGUACUCCUUGGGAUCCUCUACCGGUACUGUCGCUCUCCAGAGAAGCACACAGCCCCCGUGAAGUACAAGAAGCAUAAGAAGAGCCACGGUUACAAACGUAGCGGCUUUGGCUACGGCUCCUACUACCCUCCUGGUGGCUGGUCUUCUGACAUUGGUCACUCCAGCAGCGAUGAGGAAGCUGGUCGGGGCGCUGACAGCGGCCACGAAAGUUUUGGCCACGAUAGCGCUGGACAUGAUAGCGGCGGCCAUGGCAGUGGGGGCCUUGAUAGCAGUUGUCAUGACAGUGGUGUAGGAGGUCACAGCGGUGGAGGAGGAUGCGGUGGAACUGCGGUGGAGGAGAGUGUGACAGCGGUGGAAGAUGUGACUGAGUGACACAAGGUUCGAAAAAUUUCUUGAUUGGUCUUUCUCUUGUGCUGCUUGUCAAGUCAUUCGCUACACUGAAAGAAAGAUGUGACCCUCUACAUAUAUACACAGUAACAGUGUGCUAGUUGACUAUUUGUUGACAUAGCUUGUUAAAUGUUGAAGAAUCUUGUGCUUUCCGACAGCACUAAUCGGGUGAGUAACUGUGCGUUGGGCUCAGCAGUUUAGUUUAUGCAUUUGUGUAGCUGUUCACUGGAUACAGCCCAAAUUUUGACAUUGUCAAGUUCUCCCUCUGCAGGGUGAUACAACUAAACAAAGUUGCCUUGUAGAGAGUGCCCGCUUCUUCAUCUUAUUACAAACAGUACCUGUUACAAGUUGAUGCAUUUUUUUAUGGGUCAUAAAAGAUUGGUUGCCACUGUGGAAUGGCGCAGGUUUACAUGCUUACCACAAAGAAAGGUGACUAUAAUUGUUGCCAGACUACACAAAAGAAGCUGUAGAAUGCUGCAAAUAACGUACCUCCAUAUGUAAAUAUUGCCUACUGCCACACAAAAUUGCAAUGCAUUCCAGAGCACUUACCGUCUUUUGAAGUUUGUACUUUGCAAGUGUGCCUAAUAAUCAUAUACUCAGUACUGCCCCUGAUAACACAACGAUUAGUGCAAAGUUGUCUGAGACAGAGAUGCUUGAUGCAUUUGUUUUCUAGCUAUAGGACAUUUUACUGCAGUAGUUAUUAGGGGUACAUUAUUCUGCCCUUGUGACGUCUAAUGCUUGUGGCCUGUAUUGUGUGAUCCCAUACAUUGAACAGUAUGUAGAUCAUGAAAAAAAGGAGGUGUUAUUGGAAUGCUGCUUGUUGGUCACGGGCUGAAUGCUGAUAAUUGCAUUGCCAUCAGAAUGUCCAUACAUAGUACGAAAAACUCAUGUGUCAAACCACAUCAUUUAACAAGCACUAUCAUCAGACUGGUUGGUAUGUAACCUUAACUUUGGAUAGUGCUAAUAGAGAGACAGUCAGCAGAAAAAAAGAAACAGCAUGGAUGUGAGCACCAUAUUUCUGCUUCUGUGUCCCUAUUUGUGAUGCCCAAAGUUAUGCACAUAUUGUUUAGCUGCUCAGUGCUGUCAUAAACCGCUCCAUUUUCAGUACACUAACAUAUUUAGAUAGACUUGGGAUUAGGACAAGGACCAUAAGUUUAUUGCCGUGAGUAUGUUUUACAUCUAAGCAAUGCUUGGCAGAGUUUUUACAUUCCAAAGUUAUACUUUCUGUAUUAAGUGCGCCUAAAGUUGCAUGCAGACGUCAUGAAGACCCAUUGCUAUGAAAUGUGCAGUGCAGAGAAGGCAUUUUGCAAAUCUUUUUAGAAAUAACUCUUGCAUUUUAGGAGGAAAAAAAAAACAUGCAUUUUUAUUGCUUCUGAAGUGAUUCCAUGUGCUUCUGGCUUCUCCUAAUCACCAAGUUCUCUCCAUAUAGGAGGCAAGUGAGCACAGGUCAAAGUGAGCAGUCACACGUUUUUGUCAACAAAGUUUCACAAUGUACAUUGAGACACCUUAUUACGGCUGCCGCGGCCGGGAUUCGAUCCCGUGCCCUGGGACAUAGUAGCUUGAUAGUGUUCAUGACUGACAAGCAGUUGGCCAUUGCUAUGAGCUCAAAAAAACAAAUAAGAUUCAGAAAAAAGUUGAUUACAUGGCUUCCUAUACAUUAUAGUGCAGCCAAGCUGUUUCGAAAUACUUGAGACACCUGAAGCAGUAAAGUAUCUUGCAAUAUUACCUACAGGGACGUCUGGACAUAACGUGGGAAAGCUCCGUGGGAAAACUGUAAUAUCGAACAUUUAGCUUCUCUUGAAUAUGGCAUGGUCUGAAAUAUAAUCAUGGCUGUGCAAUAAACCUUUCUUGUAAUUGAGUCUUUGUAAGAAGCCUUUGUUCUACUGUAUGUAAUACAUGUUGCAUUGAUGUUUGCUCACUGGUAAUGCAAAAAGUUGUGAAUGAAGAGAAGCUUUUGGUAUAACUGGUGCAUAAUGAGCGCGACUUUGUUCUUUCUUCGAAUUCGACACCCUGAACGUGGUAUUCACCACAUUUGUUAUAGCUGUGGACCAGAGCGAAACUAUUUGAUCUAGUAAUAAUUUCUUGUAAUGAUGCAGCCAAGGGAGAAUUUUACAGGAUUUUAUUUUUUCCGUAAGUACUGAACUAUCAUGACAGACAACUGCUGAUUCCCAGGCAUGUUCCCAAAGAUGUCCUAGCUCUCCGAGAAAGAUCUGAUGUCCCCACUACUAGGCACACAGGUAAUUUCAGGAAGCACUCACUCACUCAGUGCACUGUGGUGUGCGCAGGACCAGUUGGCAUUUUCAUUUUUUUCUCUAUUUACAGAGAAGUGUUUAUUCAAGAACUAAUGACAGACAAAUUUGUUUUACUUAGCUAUACUCUACAGUGUAUACUCAUUUAACAUGCUUGUCUAGCACCAGGUCUUAAAAUACAGUGCAGUCAAGGGACAAUGUUAGUGCCUUCUGAUAGCAUGAAAUUUAAACACAGUGUCAAUUUUUCAUUGUUAUUGUCAUUCAUGCUCAAGAAAUAAAGGUUCCUGCAGGUACUUUCAAUAUGUGGUAGAUAGGGCAGCUAUGUGCCGAAAAUAUAUACAUUGCUAUCUUUGUGAUUGUGGUCGAGAUGUUAAAAAAUUAUACCUGUUCACUUGUUACCAUGGAACAAAUUAAUUUGCCCCUGUAUAGUAUUGCUAUUUGUGACUGUGUUGCACCCGCCGUGGUUGCUCAGUGGCUAUGGUGUUGGGCUGCUGAGCACGAGGUCGCGGGAUCGAAUCCCCGGCCACGGCGGCCGCAUUUCGAUGCGGGCGAAAUGCGAAAACACCCGUGUACUUAGAUUUAGGUGCACGUUAAAGAACCCCAGGUGGUCUAAAUUUCCGGACUCCCCCACUACGGCGUGCCUCAUAUCAGAUCAUGAUUUUGGCACGUAAAACCUCAUUUUGAAUUGUUGACUGUGUUGCGAAAAAUGCAUUUGUGUUUGAAGAAUGUUGUGUUUAUCUUACUACUUCAUAGCUGCUUUGCUGAAAUGUGUCAGUUGUCUUGUAGAACGAAGUGAGCUGAAAUAGUAUGGUGAUGUGUUACUGCAGUGUUCAGCUAAGCUGGUCGAUUUGUUUAUCAUGCUGUUGGAAAGGCAUUGUGGUUUUGCUGCUUGUUGUGUUUUAAUUUCUUUUAAUGUUUGGCAAGGGGGGGGGGGGGGAGGAACAGCCUCUUAACAGCGUGUUUUGGCUUGUAUACUUAUUUUUGUUUGUACAUUCUACUUUUGUUUUCCCUUCUUAUUAUGCAUAUGUUAUCAUAGACAAGGCUGUUUGUUUUCUGGCAGUGUAAUCACAUGCUUAUAUGUACUUGUCUACUCGUGUUUCAGCUUGCUAAGCCCAGUGUUUGUGCGGUUAUAGACUGUGAUGAACUGUGUGAUGUUGUGCAUCUUUCCCAGGCAGCUUAAGCUGUUUAGUGUAGACUUUAACUUCAAGCUUAUAUGGUUUCUGAUAUUCUGACAGACCCAAGACUAUUUGUAUGUUCAAGUUUAUGCCUUGUUCAUGUUAAGAUCUAACAUAAUUUAAGUGAGGAACUAAGUAUUCUCUAUUUUUAGGCUUUACAUUUGUACCUUUUCUUGUGAGGACUUGCAUGCUGCCUACUGAAUCUUUUGGAAAUAGUUGCAUAUUUUUUUAAAGAGUAAUGGUAUAUAUUGUUUUCUUUCUUUUUCAUAUUUCCGUGCAUUUCAACACAAACGCUCUUUGGAGCCAGUAAAGUUUUGGCAUAGUGUUUCGCACCUCAGGAAAUAGGCACUUUCUUUAUCAUUCACUCAUUCAUGGUGUCAAAUAUUAUCAGUGUUACUCAUAUACUAUUUCUGAUGCUCUGUUGCAGUUUUGGUUUGCAAAAUUUCGGUGACAGUUUUAUGUUAUACGUGAGAAGGCAUACUCACAAGUUACAUGCUUUUCACUAUUGACAUUGCAAUCGUGUCACUGGUUUCAUUCAGCUGGCGUAAACGAGUGCUGUUGCCAUUGUGCGUCUCUCUUUGCAUCUUGUUCUGUGUUUUGUACGGUGUAUUACCUAUUUUUAGAAAUAUAUUUGCGCUGGCCGCUG